rnacentral:rRNA from 1 species
ACCUUACCAAGGCUUGACAUAUAGAGGAAACGUGCAGAGAUGUACGCCCCGCAAGGUCUCUAUACAGGUGGUGCAUGGUUGUCGUCAGCUCGUGUCGUGAGAUGUUGGGUUAAGUCCCGCAACGAGCGCAACCCUCGUCCUAUGUUGCCAGCACGUAAUGGUGGGAACUCAUGGGAGACUGCCGGGGUCAACUCGGAGGAAGGUGGGGAUGACGUCAAAUCAUCAUGCCCCUUAUGUCUUGGGCUUCACGCAUGCUACAAUGGCCGGUACAAAGGGUUGCGAUACCGCAAGGUGGAGCUAAUCCCAAAAAGCCGGUCUCAGUUCGGAUUAUGGUCUGCAACUCGACCCUAUGAAGUUGGAGUCGCUAGUAAUCGCAGAUCAGCAACGCUGCGGUGAAUACGUUCCCGGGCCUUGUACACACCGCCCGUCAAGUCAUGAAAGUCGGUAACACCCGAAACCGGUGGCCUAACC